AAUUACCCUAUGCUGUUAAAGUUAGUAUUAUCAUCUUAAAGCAACUAAUAAAGUACCUGCUACGCCUAUAAAGCUCGUAAUACUGCGACAUGUACAAAUAAUUUCUUGUUCAAGGCUCUUCAAGUGGUUGGAAGAGGACAAGUGAGGUUUCUACCAUUAGCCCCCAUCGUGGACAAACUACCUUUCAGGUCCUUAAAUGAGAUUACGAAUUUAAUUACUGCGUAUUUUUUAAAUAACGGAUGAUAAGGUAAAAGCAUUAAAUAUGGUUGCUGCCUAAGAUAGUUCUGUAUGUUUUGGAAAGACAAGAAGAUAAAUGAGAUACAUACGUACGUGUGAAAAACAAUGAGCUAUAGAUUUGUUCACCUAUUGACAACGCCAUUCAAUUACCAAGGAGCAUUUAUAGCGACCUCUCUCAAAUUAUUACUUUCCAAAAGCAAUGCACGAUUAAAACAACAAUUGUAUAUAUUUAAUAAAUGCUUUUUCUUUAAGCCAUUUCAGAAAAAGAAGAAGCUAUCGAGAUCAGUAGUAAUUAAAUAACUUUCUAAUUUACACAAUGGCCAAUCACCAACAAGCGGGAAUAAAAACAAGAUGAGCCAACUUGUUGAAAGCACGGAAAUUUUUUUAAAUGCAUCCUAUUAAGCAUAAUCGAACGAUAAUUUUAGUAAAUAGGAAUUCCCUAUUGCAAAGGAGGGAAGCCUUAGACAAUCUAAAGUAUUGUGUAUUUUAGGACCGAAUGUAAUAUCCAAUAUGUAUCCAUGCCAGCAUGAAAUAAUGUAUAAACAUUAGCAGAUGUUUAACUGAAACACCACAAGAGCGGAAAACAGGUGCGCUUUAUAAAGCAACAAAGAAAGACUUAACCA